rnacentral:misc_RNA from 1 species
CCUAAAGAUAUUAGUUCGAGUGGCGUGCUCACACAGAUUGUCUGAUAAAAAGUAACGAGCAAAAAUACCUUUAUAGGCUUGUAGCUCAGGUGGUUAGAGCGCACCCCUGAUAAGGGUGAGGUCGGUGGUUCAAGUCCACUCAGGCCUACCACUUCUCAGAAGUGGAAAAGGUACUGCACGUGACUGUAUGGGGCUAUAGCUCAGCUGGGAGAGCGCCUGCCUUGCACGCAGGAGGUCAGCGGUUCGAUCCCGCUUAGCUCCACCAUAUAGUCCGGUAUUUAAUACUUCAGAGUAUAUUGGCGACAGUAUGCUGCGAAGUAUUUUGCUCUUUAACAAUCUGGAACAAGCUGAAAAUUGAAACAUGACGGCUGAAAUUUAUCCCUCCGUAGAUGUAUUGGGAUGAAGAGUAACCUGUCAUAGAGUCUCUCAAAUGUUUGCAGCGCGAACGAUGGAAACAUCUUCGGGUUGUGA